rnacentral:tRNA from 1 species
GGGCCCGUAGCUCAGCCAGGUAGAGCGGCAGUGGUGACCUGUAGGCCGUGGGUUCAAGUCCCACCGGGCCCACCA